rnacentral:lncRNA from 1 species
AGAUCAUAUGACUUAAGAAAUUUAUCUAUGCCUUCACUAUCUUCUAAUUUAUUGGAGUAUAAGGAUUCAAAAUAAUUUUUGAUUAUCUUCUGUAUUUCUGAAGUGUCUGUUGUGAUAUUGCCUUUUUCAUCCCGUAUGCUAGUAAUUUGAGUUCUCUCUCUUCUUCUCUUCGCUAGCAUGGCUAAGGGUCUGUCGAUUUUGUUUAUUUUUUCAAAGAACCAACUUUUAGUUUUGUCAAUUUUUUCAAUUGUUUCUUUUGUUUCGAUUUCAUUAAUUUCAGCUCUGAUUUUAAUUAUUUCUUGCCUUCUACUUCUUUUGCUGUUGUUUUGCUCUUCUUUUUCUAGGAUUUUGAGAUGAAGUAUGAGAUCAUUUAUUUGUUGGUUUUUUCUUUUUUUAAGGAAUGAACUCCAAGCAAUGAAUUUUCCUCUUAGAACUGCUUUCAAUGUGUCCCAUAGAUUCCGAUAUGUUGUGUCUGUGUUUUCAUUUAUCUCUAAGAAUUUUUUAAUUUCCUCCUUGAUGUCUUCUAUAACCCAUUGAUCAUUCAGUAACCUAUUGUUCAUUCUCCAAGUGAUGUAUGCUUUUUCCUUCCUUCUUUUAUCGUUGAUUUUCAGUUUCAUUCCAUUAUGAUCAGAUAAGAUGCAUGGUAUUAUCUCUACUCCUUUAUAUUGUCUAAGAGUUGCCCUGUGACAUAAUAUAUGAUCUAUUUUUGAGAAGAAUCCAUGUGCUGCUGAGAAAAAAGUGUAACUGCUUGAUGUUGGGUGGUAUAUUCUAUAUAUGUCAAUUAAGUCUAGGUUAUUAAUUGUGUUAUUGAGUUCUAUAGUUUCCUUAUUCAACUUUUGUUUGGAAGAUCUGUCCAGUGGCGAGAGAGGUGUGUUGAAGUCUCCCAUGAUUAUUGUAUGGUGGUCUAUUAGACUCUUGAACUUGAGAAGAGUUUGUUUGAUGAACAUAGCUGCACCAUUGUUUGGGGCAUAUAUAUUUAUGAUUGUUAUGUCUUGUUGGUGUAUGGUUCCCUUGAGCAGUAUGUAGUGUCCCUCUUUAUCCCUUUUGAUUAACUUUGGCUUGAAAUCUAUUUUAUUUGAUAUGAGUAUGGACACUCCUGCUUGUUUCCGAAGUCCAUAUGAGUGAUAUGAUUUUUCCCAACCUUUCACCUUCAGCCUAUGUAUGUCUUUUCCUAUCAAAUGCGUCUCCUGUAGGCAGCAUAUUGUUGGGUCUUGUUUUGUGAUCCAUUCUACUAGCCUGUGUCUCUUAAUUGGUGAGUUUAAGCCAUUAACAUUUAGGGUUAUUAUUGAGAUAUGGGUUGUUCUUCCAGCCAUAUUUGUUUAUUUAUGUUACUUAACAUGGUUUGUUUUUCCUCUUUGAUUAUUUUUCCCUUUACUGUACUACCUUACACUGUUGGUUUUCAUUGUUAUUUUCCAUUUCCUCUUCCUGUAAUGUUUUGCCAAGGAUGUUUUGAAGAGAUGGUUUUCUAGCUGCAAAUUCUUUUAACUUUUGUUUAUCGUGAAAGGUUUUAAUUUCCUCUUCCAUCCUGAAGCUUAAUUCUGCUGGAUACACAAUUCUUGGUUAGAACCCAUUUUCUUUCAGCAUUUGAAAUAUGUUGUUCCAGGAUCUUCUAGCUUUCAGUGUCUGUGUUGAAAGAUCAGCUGUUAUCCUGGUUGGUUUACCCCUAAAUGUAAUCUGCUUCCUUUCUCUUGAAGCUUUUAGAAUUUUCUCCUUAUUCUGUAUAUUGGGCACCUUCAUUAUAAUGUGUCUAGGUGUGGAUCUCUUAUGAUUUUGCACAUUUGGCGUCCUGUAGGCUUCUAGGAUUUGGGAUUCUGUCUCAUUCUUCAAGUCUGGGAAGUUUUCUCGUAUUAUUUCGUUGAACAGAUUGCUCAUUCCUUUGGUUUGGACCUCUAUACCUUCCUGUAUCCCAAUGACUCUUAAGUUUGGUCUCUUUAUGUUAUCCCAAAUUUCUUGGAUGUUUUGCUCAUGGUUUCUUAACAGUCUCUCUGAGCUGUCUAUGUUCUUUUCAAGUUGAAAUACUUUGUCUUCAUUGUCUGAUGUUCUAUCUUCUAGGUGUUCUACUCUGCUGGCAGUAUUCUCAUUUGAGUUUUUAAGUUGGUUUAUUGCUUCCUGCAUUUCUAGGAUUUCUGUUUGUUUGUUUUUUAUAACCUCUAUCUCCCUGUAUAGUUGAUCUUUUGCUUCUUGGAUUUGUUUAUGUAACUCAUUGUCGAAGUGAUCUUUCAUUGUCUGAUUUUGCUGUCUAAUGUCUUCCUUGAGACUCCAGAUCAUCUGAAGCAUGUAAAUUCUGAAUUCUUUAUCUGACAUUCCAUCUGCUGCAGCUAUUACCUCUUCUAAAGUUGAGUUGACCUGCAUUGCUUGUGGUCCUUUCUUUCCGUGUCUUUUCAUACUGCUUGCAUUUCUUUCUGCUUGGUGAGACUGUUGUGUUAUUGAAUUAUCCCCCUAUAUAUUUAUAUUGCUCUUGUAUAGUUGCAAAGUCUCCCUUGCAGGGGCGGGCGGCGACUGUGCUCCUCCUCCAAUUGGGGUGAUCUAUCUUGCCGGCGGGCCGCUGGGCCCCUUCUCCAGAUCGCGUGGUCUGCCUACCUUGCGGGCAACAGCUGGGCCCCUCCUCCAAUAGGGAUGAUCUGUCUACCACGCUGGCAGGCCGCUGGGCCUGUUCUCCAGGUUGCAGGUCUGCCUACCUUGCAGGUGCAGACGGUGGCUGUGCCCCUCCUCUAAUUGGGGCGAUCUUUCAACUAGGCCUGCGUGCCGCCGGGCCCCUUCUCCAGGACGCACGGUCUGUCUACCUUGUGGGCAGCAGCUGGGACCUUUCUCCAAUUGGGGCAAUGUGUCUACCACGCUGGCGGGCCGCUGGGCCUGCUCCGUCGGUCGGUCGCAGGUCCCACCUUGCAGGCGUGGGAAGCGGCUCUACUCCGCACCUCCUCCAAUUGGGGCGAUGUGUCUACCACACCGGCAGGCCGCUGGGCCUGCUCCGCUGGUCGGUCGCAGGUCUGCCCACCUUACAGGCAUAGGCGGCGUCUCUGCUCCGCCCCUCCUCCAAUUGGGGCAAUGUGUCUACCACGCCGGCGGGCUGCUGGUCUCGAAAGUAUAUUCUUAGACAAAAUUUUGCUGGAUAAAUGUUUUUGGACCAGUUUAAAUGCCUUAGUAGAUAAUCAAGGGAAAGGAGGAAAAGUGACAUUUUAUAAUAAAAAUGAAGUAUUUUAUUCUACUAUUUUUCUUAUCCCCACAUCCCCUGCCUUCUCCUCCUUUCACUUUCCUCUACCUAAUCUAAGGUAAUGUUAUUAUUAUUUUUUUUCAUUACUGUAUGUGACUGCAUGACCAAUGUGAUUCUACAAUAUAUAUACUCAGAAAAAUGAGAAAUUAUAUCCCAACUAUGUAUAAUACAUCAAAGUAUAUAAGUGCAUUCUACUGCCAUGUAUAACUAAUUAAAACAAAAAAAAUAAAAAUGAAGUAGU